rnacentral:rRNA from 1 species
GACGAACGCUGGCGGCGUGCUUAACACAUGCAAGUCGAACGGAAAGGCCUGCUUUCCCUUGUGGAUUGCGGGUACUCGAGUGGCGAACGGGUGAGUAACACGUGAGUGAUCUGCCCCCAACUUGGGUAUAAGCCUGGGAAACUGGGUCUAAUUCCCGAUAGGACUGCAGGGUGGUGCCUGUGGUGGAAAACGAUUUUCUAGUGGUUGGGGAUGAGCUCGCGGCCUAUCAGCUUGUUGGUGGGGUAAUGGCCUACCAAGGCGGCGACGGGUAGCCGGCCUGGGAGGGUGGACGGCCACAUUGGGACUGAGAUACGGCCCAGACUCCUACGGGAGGCAGCAGUGGGGAAUAUUGGACAAUGGGCGGAAGCCUGAUGCAGCGACGCAGCGUGGGGGAUGACGGCCUUCGGGUUGUAAACUCCUUUCGACCGCGAGGAAGCCACCUGGUUGGAAGGGUGGUGACGGUAGUGGUAGAAGAAGCACCGGCUAACUACGUG